UACGUAGGGGGCAAGCGUUGUCCGGAAUCAUUGGGCGUAAAGAGCGUGUAGGCGGCCCGGUAAGUCCGUUGUGAAAGUCCAGGGCUCAACCCUGGAAAGCCGAUGGAUACUGCCGGGCUAGAGUUCGGAAGAGGCGAGUGGAAUUCCUGGUGUAGCGGUGGAAUGCGCAGAUACCAGGAGGAACACCUAUAGCGAAGGCAGCUCGCUGGGACGACACUGACGCUGAGACGCGAAAGCGUGGGGAGCAAACAGG
rnacentral:rRNA from 1 species